CCUGGGGAGUACGGCCGCAAGGUUAAAACUCAAAUGAAUUGACGGGGGCCCGCACAAGCGGUGGAGCAUGUGGUUUAAUUCGAUGCAACGCGAAGAACCUUACCUGGUCUUGACAUCCACAGAAGAAUCCAGAGAUGGAUUUGUGCCUUCGGGAACUGUGAGACAGGUGCUGCAUGGCUGUCGUCAGCUCGUGUUGUGAAAUGUUGGGUUAAGUCCCGCAACGAGCGCAACCCUUAUCCUUUGUUGCCAGCGGUCCGGCCGGGAACUCAAAGGAGACUGCCAGUGAUAAACUGGAGGAAGGUGGGGAUGACGUCAAGUCAUCAUGGCCCUUACGACCAGGGCUACACACGUGCUACAAUGGCGCAUACAAAGAGAAGCGACCUCGCGAGAGCAAGCGGACCUCAUAAAGUGCGUCGUAGUCCGGAUUGGAGUCUGCAACUCGACUCCAUGAAGUCGGAAUCGCUAGUAAUCGUGGAUCAGAAUGCCACGGUGAAUACGUUCCCGGGCCUUGUACACACCGCCCGUCACACCAUGGGAGUGGGUUGCAAAAGAAGUAGGUAGCUUAACCUUCGGGAGGGCGCUUACCACUUUGUGAUUCAUGACUGGGGUGAAGUCGUAACAAGGUAACCGUAGGGGAACCUGC
rnacentral:rRNA from 1 species